UAUAGUGCACUACUUUAGACCAGAGCCCUAUUCCCUAUAUAGUGCACUACUUUAGACCAGAGCCCUAUUCCCUAUAUAGUGCACUACUUUAGACCAGCACUCAUAGGGCUCAAAAGUUGUGUUCUGUAUAGGGCAAGGGUUUCCAUCCCUGUUCCUGGAGAGAUACCGUCCUGUAGGUUUAAACUCCAACCCUGUUCCUGGAGAGAGACCCUCCUGUAGGUUUUAACUCCAACCCUGUUCCUGGAGAGUGACCCUCCUGUAGGUUGUAACUCCAACCCUGUUCCUGGAGAAAGACCCUCCUGUAGGUUUUAACUCCAACCCUGUUCCUGGAGAGAUACCCUCCUGUAGGUUUUAACUCCAACCCUGUUCCUGGAGAGAGACCCUCCUGUAGGUUUUAACUCCAACCCUGUUCCUGGAGAGAUACCCUCCUGUAGGUUUAAACUCCAACCCUGUUCCUGGAGAGAUACCCUCCUGUAGGUCCAGGGAAUAGGGUGCUAUUUGAGACUCAACCAGGUAACCAACAGUGAGGAAACCCUUCCCUUCCUCAUGUCUACCACCCUGUUGAUUUUCUCUCUGCCUCAUCUCAGAGUGCAUCUUGUGUUUGUCCCAAAAUGGCACCAAACUCCCUACAGAAGUAGUGUACUGCUUUUGACCAGGACUCAUAGGGCUCUGGUUAAAAGUAGUGUUCAAUAUAGGGAAUAGGGUGCCAUUUGGGAAGCAACCUUAGUGUUUACGAGGAGGGGUCAAGCCUUCCUCCGUCCAAUACAGGUGAGGGAAUGGAGGACAGACCAGUCAGUGUCGACGCUGUCUGUCUCUGAUUUAAUGGAAUGGUCAGUGUUUUUGCAUGCAGUUGGGGUGUGUGGGGCUACGUGAUUAAGACAUGUUUGGUUCACUAGAGAACAAGACCCCCCCCACACACACUGGCUGAUGUGGAGAGAAGACUCCACUGUGUUUGCAAUGCCACAGUCUCUCUCUUUCUCUCUCUUGUCAGUGUUGCCUGUCUUGUAUGGCAUGUCAGUGUGACAAUAUGUGUUCUAAAUGAACAGUAUUAACAAGCAAUAUCAGUAGGUCUGCCAGAACAAUUAUUGUCUGUGUCUGGCCCUGUAGACCCACAUACCAAGGCAAAGCUUUAAAAAAAAAAUUGGGG
ensembl:lncRNA